UACGGAGGGUGCGAGCGUUGGCCGGAAUCAUUGGGCGUAAAGGGCGCGUAGGUGGCCCGGUCAGUUCGUGGUGAAAGCGCGGGGCUCAACCCUGCGUCGGCCAUGAAUACUGCCGCGGCUGGAGCACUGUAGAGGCAGGCGGAAUUCCGGGUGUAGCGGUGGAAUGCGUAGAGAUCCGGAAGAACACCGGUGGCGAAGGCGGCCUGCUGGGCAGUUGCUGACACUGAGGCGCGACAGCGUGGGGAGCAAACAGG
rnacentral:rRNA from 1 species